AAGCAGCGGUCUGGGACUAUACCAGGACGCCUCACUGCAGCCUUGUCUCGUCUCUGUUUCCCAAUACAACAUCUGGUGACCCCGACGUGAUCCAGACACAGGACCCCCGACUCAUCGGCUGGCUUAGCCUUGGUGCACCUCAGCGCAACGCGCUCCCUCAUUGCUGCAGUAUUACAACACAUCCGAACCCACAAACCGACCCUUUUUAUCUAGAGCCCAGCGCCAUUAUAGACAGACCG